rnacentral:rRNA from 1 species
UACGGGGGGGGCAAGCGUUGUUCGGAAUUACUGGGCGUAAAGGGCUCGUAGGCGGCCAACUAAGUCAGACGUGAAAUCCCUCGGCUUAACCGGGGAACUGCGUCUGAUACUGGAUGGCUUGAGUUUGGGAGAGGGAUGCGGAAUUCCAGGUGUAGCGGUGAAAUGCGUAGAUAUCUGGAGGAACACCGGUGGCGAAGGCGGCAUCCUGGACCAACACUGACGCUGAUGCGCGAAAGCUAGGGGAGCGAACGGG